rnacentral:rRNA from 1 species
GAGUUUGAUCAUGGCUACAGAACGAACGCUGGCGGCGCGCCUAAUACAUGCAAGUCGAGCGAGAAGGUGUAGCAAUACACUUGUAAAGCGGCGAACGGGUGAGGAAUGCAUGGGUAACCUACCCUCGAGUGGGGAAUAACUAGCCGAAAGGUUAGCUAAUACCGCAUACGUUUCCGGAACUUCGGUUUCGGAAAGAAAGCAAUACCGUGGGUAUUGCGCUCCUGGAUGGGCUCAUGUCCUAUCAGCUUGUUGGUGAGGUAACGGCUCACCAAGGCUUCGACGGGUAGCUGGUCUGAGAGGACGAUCAGCCACACUGGCACUGCGACACGGGCCAGACUCCUACGGGAGGCAGCAGUAAGGAAUAUUGCGCAAUGGACGAAAGUCUGACGCAGCGACGCCGCGUGGGGGAUGAAGGUCUUCGGAUUGUAAACCCCUUUCGGGAGGGAAGAUGGAGUGGGUAACCACUUGGACGGUACCUCCAGAAGCAGCCACGGCUAACUUCGUG